AGCAGCCCAGAGCCUGAAUCAGUGUGUGUGUUAGUGGAAGCGUCUGGAAAGGCGCGUGAUACAGGGUGACAGCCCCGUACACAAAAAUGCACAUGCUGUGAGCUCGAUGAGUAGGGCGGGACACGUGGUAUCCUGUCUGAAUAUGGGGGGACCAUCCUCCAAGGCUAAAUACUCCUGACUGACCGAUAGUGAACCAGUACCGUGAGGGAAAGGCGAAAAGAACCCCGGCGAGGGGAGUGAAAAAGAACCUGAAACCGUGUACGUACAAGCAGUGGGAGCACGCUUAGGCGUGUGACUGCGUACCUUUUGUAUAAUGGGUCAGCGACUUAUAUUCUGUAGCAAGGUUAACCGAAUAGGGGAGCCGAAGGGAAACCGAGUCUUAACUGGGCGUUAAGUUGCAGGGUAUAGACCCGAAACCCGGUGAUCUAGCCAUGGGCAGGUUGAAGGUUGGGUAACACUAACUGGAGGACCGAACCGACUAAUGUUGAAAAAUUAGCGGAUGACUUGUGGCUGGGGGUGAAAGGCCAAUCAAACCGGGAGAUAGCUGGUUCUCCCCGAAAGCUAUUUAGGUAGCGCCUCGUGAAUUCAUCUCCGGGGGUAGAGCACUGUUUCGGCAAGGGGGUCAUCCCGACUUACCAACCCGAUGCAAACUGCGAAUACCGGAGAAUGUUAUCACGGGAGACACACGGCGGGUGCUAACGUCCGUCGUGAAGAGGGAAACAACCCAGACCGCCAGCUAAGGUCCCAAAGUCAUGGUUAAGUGGGAAACGAUGUGGGAAGGCCCAGACAGCCAGGAUGUUGGCUUAGAAGCAGCCAUCAUUUAAAGAAAGCGUAAUAGCUCACUGGUCGAGUCGGCCUGCGCGGAAGAUGUAACGGGGCUAAACCAUGCACCGAAGCUGCGGCAGCGACGCUUAUGCGUUGUUGGGUAGGGGAGCGUUCUGUAAGCCUGUGAAGGUGUACUGUGAGGUAUGCUGGAGGUAUCAGAAGUGCGAAUGCUGACAUAAGUAACGAUAAAGCGGGUGAAAAGCCCGCUCGCCGGAAGACCAAGGGUUCCUGUCCAACGUUAAUCGGGGCAGGGUGAGUCGACCCCUAAGGCGAGGCCGAAAGGCGUAGUCGAUGGGAAACAGGUUAAUAUUCCUGUACUUGGUGUUACUGCGAAGGGGGGACGGAGAAGGCUAUGUUGGCCGGGCGACGGUUGUCCCGGUUUAAGCGUGUAGGCUGGUUUUCCAGGCAAAUCCGGAAAAUCAAGGCUGAGGCGUGAUGACGAGGCACUACGGUGCUGAAGCAACAAAUGCCCUGCUUCCAGGAAAAGCCUCUAAGCAUCAGGUAACAUCAAAUCGUACCCCAAACCGACACAGGUGGUCAGGUAGAGAAUACCAAGGCGCUUGAGAGAACUCGGGUGAAGGAACUAGGCAAAAUGGUGCCGUAACUUCGGGAGAAGGCACGCUGAUAUGUAGGUGAAGUCCCUCGCGGAUGGAGCUGAAAUCAGUCGAAGAUACCAGCUGGCUGCAACUGUUUAUUAAAAACACAGCACUGUGCAAACACGAAAGUGGACGUAUACGGUGUGACGCCUGCCCGGUGC
rnacentral:rRNA from 1 species